rnacentral:rRNA from 1 species
AAUUGGAGGCCAGUGAAUGGCAAGACUAGGAACACCUUUACUUUGUAUAUAAAAAAAAUUUUUCAUCUAAGUGAAAAGACUUAGAUAACAAAGGAAGACGAAAAGACCCCGCGGAGCUUUACCUCUUCUUAUACUCUUGUUCACACACUUAAAAGUACUAGAGGUUUGAUUGGGGCAAUCUUGGAACCACAAAGCUUCCAAUUUUUAAAAAAUCCUAUUCAAAACUUAAUAAGGACCAAAAAGAAGUUACCCCGGGGAUAACAGCGUAAUCCAAUUUAAGAGUACAUAUCGAAAAUUGGGUUUGCGACCUCGAUGUUG